AAAAAUAAACACAUAUUUAAUUUCAAUUGUUCGCUUAAUCAUUUCAUCCAUAUACAUGUAAUAAAAUCAAUUUGUAUAACUAAAAAUAAUGAUUUUGAUAAAUAUUUGUUUAAAUUUAACCAAUAUGAUCCCAAAACAUCAGCUGGACCGUACGCGUAUACUCAUACGGUCCGACCGUACGCGUAUGGUCGGACCGUACGAGUAUACGUAUACGGUCCGGACCGUACGCGUACGGUCCAAAUACUCAUAUGGUCUGGAACAUAUAUAUACAACUCG
rnacentral:lncRNA from 1 species